UAACCCACUGAGCCACCCAGGCGUCCCUGUGUGAAUCUUUUUUUGAGAAGAAAUGAGGACAGUUCAGUCAUACCAUCCGUGACAUUCUUGUUUCCAUAAACUUCCUUGAAUGAGAGACAGAGGAUGGUUGGGAGAAUGAAGGAGAAAACUGAACCACUCUGGAACACCUGCUUUCUGCCAGAAAAAAAAAAAAUCAUAUUCCAGGGGGAAAAGGUGGAUGAGGAGGAAAGUCUGACUUGAGAGGGAGUGCUCCAGCAUUGUCUAAUGAGACACCCAGCAUUGCCUCGGCAGUGCAGAGGUCCCAGUACAUGCCUCCUGUCUUACACCACAUAAAUGGAAAUGAUCCACUUUUGCACGUGUCUUCCCACAGGACUUCAAGCUCUUAAAAGACAUGUCUUAUUCCUCUUAAAAGAGUAUGUCUUAUUCCUCUUUAUAUAUCCAGU